rnacentral:rRNA from 1 species
UCUUAAUGGGGUGACUGCGUACCUUUUGUAUAAUGGGUCAGCGACUUAUAUUCUGUAGCAAGGUUAACCGAAUAGGGGAGCCGAAGGGAAACCGAGUCUUAACUGGGCGUUAAGUUGCAGGGUAUAGACCCGAAACCCGGUGAUCUAGCCAUGGGCAGGUUGAAGGUUGGGUAACACUAACUGGAGGACCGAACCGACUAAUGUUGAAAAAUUAGCGGAUGACUUGUGGCUGGGGGUGAAAGGCCAAUCAAACCGGGAGAUAGCUGGUUCUCCCCGAAAGCUAUUUAGGUAGCGCCUCGUGAAUUCAUCUCCGGGGGUAGAGCACUGUUUCGGCAAGGGGGUCAUCCCGACUUACCAACCCGAUGCAAACUGCGAAUACCGGAGAAUGUUAUCACGGGAGACACACGGCGGGUGCUAACGUCCGUCGUGAAGAGGGAAACAACCCAGACCGCCAGCUAAGGUCCCAAAGUCAUGGUUAAGUGGGAAACGAUGUGGGAAGGCCCAGACAGCCAGGAUGUUGGCUUAGAAGCAGCCAUCAUUUAAAGAAAGCGUAAUAGCUCACUGGUCGAGUCGGCCUGCGCGGAAGAUGUAACGGGGCUAAACCAUGCACCGAAGCUGCGGCAGCGACACUAUGUGUUGUUGGGUA